rnacentral:rRNA from 1 species
UACAGAGGUCCCAAGCGUUGUUCGGAUUCACUGGGCGUAAAGGGCGCGUAGGCGGCUUAUCAAGUCAGGGGUGAAAUCCGGCAGCUCAACUGUCGAAGUGCCUUUGAUACUGAUGAGCUAGGGGGAGAUAGGGGUAUGCGGAACUUCCGGUGGAGCGGUGAAAUGCGUUGAUAUCGGAAGGAACGCCGGUGGCGAAAGCGGCGUACUGGAUCUCUUCUGACGCUGAGGCGCGAAAGCUAGGGGAGCAAACGGG